CAAUAAGCGGAGGAAAAGAAACUAACCAGGAUUCCCCUAGUAGCGGCGAGCGAACCGGGAAAAGCCCAACUUGAAAAUCUCCUGCUUGCAGGCGAAUUGUAGUCUAUAGAAGUGUCCUCUGUGGCCAGCCGAGCCCAAGUUCCCUGGAAGGGGACGUCAGAGAGGGUGAGAACCCCGUCGGUUUCGGUGUAGGCCACCCCACGAGGCGCUUUCGAAGAGUCGGGUUGUUUGGGAAUGCAGCCCAAAGUAGGUGGUAAAUCCCAUCUAAGGCUAAAUACUGACGAGAGACCGAUAGCGAACAAGUACCGUGAGGGAAAGAUGAAAAGAACUUUGAAAAGAGAGUUAAAAGUGCUUGAAAUUGUUGAGGGGGAAGGAAUUGGAAGCUGUGAGUGCGCCCAGGCUUAUGCUAUUCGCAAGGAUUGCUGUAUGCGCUGGGUGCUGGUCAGCAUGGGUUAGGCGGGAGGGAUAAAAGCAAGGAUUGUUACUUUGCCUAUGUCUCUCGACUGACUGAGGAUUGUAGGCCGCUCUUUGAGCCCUUCGGGAGCUGCGGUCUCAUGAUGCUGGCGGAAGGCUUCCAAUUCGCCC
rnacentral:rRNA from 1 species